GAAUCAAAAAAGGGAUGAGUAGCGGACAACCGUGAGUGUGACGAGAAGAAUCGUUGUUCCGUUGAUGGUCUUUGAACGCUUUGAACUCUCUACUGUCGCUUCUCUGCUACUCGUUUUGUAUAUAUAACCGCGCCGAAAAACCCCUAGUUGACAUUCAUUCGUCGUUCACUUGCCGUUUCGCACACUCAACAUAUUAGCCGUGCCCUACUUAACGAGUAAUAUACGAUGUUGUCGUAAUGAUAACCAACAAUCGUUACAUGGUUAUCAAAAAAGAGUCUAAUAAUCUACAAAUGUUAUCCAUGUUGUUGCUGCGAAGUAUUAUACAUUUUAGUCGCGUUAUUAUUCGUCCUAUUUAUGUGUGUCCGUUAAAAAGUUCUUUUCGUUUAUUUUG